rnacentral:lncRNA from 1 species
ACGGAAAAAAUGACUCAUCAUGAUAUUUAUCUCGAAGAAGCUCCUCAGUUGUCAUUACCAUCAGGAAUCACUGCCUUUCUUUUAAAUUUUAGCUGCAUAACAAAAGGAUAUAUUUAGUGACAGGCAUUCAUGUAGUUCUAAAUCCAAACUAUUUUUUUCUAUAAGGAAAGAAAUCAAAAUGGAAUUAAACAAUUGAGAAACCAUGACAAGCAUAAGGUCAUUUUAUAAUAAUUUAGAAAGUGCAAAUACAAACGCUUCAAAUCUUUAUGUCAUAAAGGAUCACAAAGAUGUAUUUUAAAAUUUCUAAAUUGGACUUGCUACAGAUACAACAACAUAUUUAGAUGAAAAUACUAUAAAAGAUUGCAUGUAAUUCAUUUAUCUGUUGCGCCAGAAACUAACAUAUACUCCCUCCGUCCCAAAAUUCUUGUCUUAGAUUUGUCUAGAUACGGAUGUAUCAAGUCACGUUUUAGUAUUAGAUACAUCUGUAUCUAGACAAAUCUAAGAAAAGAAUUUUGGGACGAAGGGAGUAGUAGCAAAAACUUGAGGAACACCUUGAAAUAAGACAUUUAGGACGUCGUGAUGCAACCAACCCUACAACAACCAGCAGGACCUCUUUCAAGAUGUCGUCGAGCUAGCUGCAUCGGCUUCCGUCUCCCUUCUGGCACUUGAUGGUUCUCGUUACAAGAUUUUGCUCCUGCUUCUUGGUUCUCUGUAGCUUGGUCGGGGUUUGUAGGAUCUGCGAGAUUUCCACCUGAGAAGCUAAACUUGAAUUAAUUGCAUCAUACUGCCUACUAAAUGAAACAUGUGUUGGUUAUUGGUGCCCCUUGUUAAAAUAUCAAAAAUAUUACAGCAAGAAGUAAAUGCUGGUGAGUCUUCAACUUUGAUCGCCUUGUUCCAGCGAUGACUACGGUAGCCACGCUGUUGAGGAAGGAGAGGUAGCCAUCUUCAAGGUUGUUGGACUGCAAUAAAGAUCCAUGAAACAAAUGAAAGGCAAAUAUUGCAUCAUGAUUCUUAAAAUUAUUUUUAAAGUAGUGAUCUAAGCGCUCUUAUAUUUCUUUACAUAGGGUAUAUGUAUCAAAUAUCAGCAAAUAGUUGCAUGAGAAGUUUGGAAUCCCAUCAGAGGAAGUUUCAUUAAAUUUAUGUAAUCAAACAGCAAAACAUCUUGAGUUGGAUAGAAUUAGCAUUGCGAUUCAGAUAAUCUAAUCAGUGAAACAUAGUAGGUAGGGUAGAAUUGAUAGCACCAUUAGAUAGAAGAAUAUUGCAACUAUAAACUUAACCUGAUGUUGAGAAUUAGAAUUAAAAAAGUUGUCACGAAAUAUAAACUUAGUGAAUCCCUAUCUUACCACAGCCUGGAUGUGGGCAAAAAAAUCCUUUUGUUCUGUGUGAGUAAGAUGGUGCCCCUUCGACUUGAAGCUAUGUACAGAUUUCUUCAGAAUGAAUAGGAGCUGAUUCAUCCAUUGUACAAAAAGAAACAUUCAAAUAGUUAGGAACUAUAUUCACCCUUCAAAAUUAUAUCAUAGAUAUAACGGUUGUGUAGUUCACAAGUAACCGAUACAGGACACAACCGAAGGUCUUGGAUGUAAAGUUAUGCUGGAUCGAAUCACUGGGACUUAAAAAAUGUAAUUCCCCUUAAUAGUAACUUGCACGUGAGCUCAAGUUAACAUGCCCCAAUGAAAGUCAAGAAGGCUGGACUGGUUGAUGAAAACUAAUGGAAUUGUAGAAAAAACAAGGUAAAAACAAAUCAUUUUAGCUGGCACUGGGUGACCUAGCGUGAGUUUGCAAAAGCCGCAAUCUGAACAUGCAAGAAUGGACUUCUAUACUCUCCAAGAUUUCACAUUCAAGCUUGAUUCAUUUUGACACUAAUGUAUGUAAAAGCAUGAUUUCAGCAAGGUAAGGACUAUAGGCACACUGUCGUAAUAAAUUUAAAAGCCUACUGUCUAUUUAGCAUGAACUCAGACUGAAAUUCAGUUUACAUACCGGAUGCUUAUUCCUCUUAGUAUAUGUGUCGAAGCAACAAAACAUGUCCUGUCCAAUGUAGCACCAAAGUCCUGUGCUAUCAAAUAAAGGAAAUGACAUUGCUGUGUAGAUGAGAGGUUGUUGUAUGGCACAUUCAGUACAGAUAUUUGAAGAAAUAAGUGCUAGUCAUACGGAAAUUUUGUUUCUUUCAUGCAACUAUAUAGACGCCCCUACACAUAAUAGUAACCUGUAAAAAUAUGCAUCGACUAAAUACUACUCCCUGCGUCCCAAAAUAAGUGACUCAACUUUGUACUAAUGAGUCACUUAUUUAGGGACGGAGGGAGUACAUUACUUACCGUGGAAUCCAAAUCUGAACGGGCAUAUCAUACAUAAUUAUUUAAGUGUGUGCAAAGCAAUACAAAUUGGGAUGCACAGAGUCCUAGUUCCAGGGAGAAUGGUUGUUCCGAGCUCUGCUUCCACUUGGCGGGGAGUUUA